GAGAGCCGGAUGCGUAACGAAAGGCGCAUGUCCGGUUCGGCGAGAGGCGAUGUGAAACCUGCCGUCGCAAGGCGGUAAGGCGCACAUCGCCUACUCUAC
rnacentral:ncRNA from 1 species